CGAAUGCUGACAUAAGUAACGAUAAAGCGGGUGAAAAGCCCGCUCGCCGGAAGACCAAGGGUUCCUGUCCAACGUUAAUCGGGGCAGGGUGAGUCGACCCCUAAGGCGAGGCCGAAAGGCGUAGUCGAUGGGAAACAGGUUAAUAUUCCUGUACUUGGUGUUACUGCGAAGGGGGGACGGAGAAGGCUAUGUUGGCCGGGCGACGGUUGUCCCGGUUUAAGCGUGUAGGCUGGUUUUCCAGGCAAAUCCGGAAAAUCAAGGCUGAGGCGUGAUGACGAGGCACUACGGUGCUGAAGCAACAAAUGCCCUGCUUCCAGGAAAAGCCUCUAAGCAUCAGGUAACAUCAAAUCGUACCCCAAACCGACACAGGUGGUCAGGUAGAGAAUACCAAGGCGCUUGAGAGAACUCGGGUGAAGGAACUAGGCAAAAUGGUGCCGUAACUUCGGGAGAAGGCACGCUGAUAUGUAGGUGAAGUCCCUCGCGGAUGGAGCUGAAAUCAGUCGAAGAUACCAGCUGGCUGCAACUGUUUAUUAAAAACACAGCACUGUGCAAACACGAAAGUGGACGUAUACGGUGUGACGCCUGCCCGGUGCCGGAAGGUUA
rnacentral:rRNA from 1 species